rnacentral:lncRNA from 1 species
GAGGAAAUAAACCACCUAUUUUCUGUCCCUUUCCUAGGAAGCAUAGAAUUCAUGUGCUUGAGGCUCCUGGUGACAUUGAGCCAACUCAAUCCACAAGUGCUGCUGACUGCAGGGCUCCUGCUGACAUAGAACCAACUCCUUCACAACUUGCUCCUGGCAGGGGUGCUCCUGCUGAUGUUGAGCCAACUCAUUCCACCUGUGCUGCUGACACCAGGAUUCCUGCUGAAAUAGAACCAAGUCCUUCACAAUGUGCUCCUGACAGUCCUGCUCCUUCUGAUAUUGAGAAAAUUCAUUCCCCAUGUCCUUCUGACAGUUCUGAAUCUGAUGAAAAACAUGACUCAGAAACAGGUGAGGAACCCAGUCCUUUUCCUGACCUAGAUGAAGAUCUAGCUGAGAAUUUUUAUGACGCUUUAGAGUCAGCCGAUCACACUGGUUAUAGUGGGUCCACUGUCCAGGAACCUGGGUUUUUUUGGGCACCAGAUAUGCUACUGCUGCCGGUAAUGCCCUUGAUGUGAUUUCUUACAUUCCUGUUAUCAAUGAUGACGUGGAUUAGAAAUCGAAUUCAACAAGUGUGGUUUGAAGAAAAUGGCCAAGGACCUUCCUCCAACAGAAAAGAUAAACCCGGUGCCGCUGGAGCUGAACACUCCAACACACACUGACAUAUCCAGACACAGAGUGACGUCACUCCAUUAUGCAUGUGCCCACAACCAUCCAGACGUGGUGGCACUAUUAUUAGAAAAUAAUUCCAGCAUUGAUAUCCUGGAUGAUGCAGGCUGUACACCCUUGAUUAAGGCCACCCAACGAGACAAUGUGGAUUGUGUUUCUGUAUUGCUCACCCACAAUGCGGAUCC